rnacentral:rRNA from 1 species
UGCGCAGGCGGAAUGAUAAGUCAGUGGUGAAAGCCUACGGCUCAACUGUAGAAAUGCCAUUGAUACUGUCGUUCUUGAGUACAUUUGAAGUGGGCGGAAUGUGUCAUGUAGCGGUGAAAUGCAUAGAUAUGACACAGAACACCGAUAGCGAAGGCAGCUCACUAAACUGUAACUGACGCUCAGGCACGAAAGCGUGGGGAGCAAACAGGAUUAGAUACCCUGGUAGUCC